rnacentral:lncRNA from 1 species
AGUGCAAAAGGCCGGUAACCGUUCAUAUGCUACUUCCAACGUAAACGCAAACCCUUCCCUUUCAACCACAAUUUCAUGAAAAAGUUUGCGAGAUAAAUCCAUAUCCACCAAAAUGCGAGCGUAAUGACCAAACAAGCGUUUAGUCGUUGCAUUGUCAAUCAGGAGAGGAGUGCCCACCGCACUUGCAAUCUCCCGAAGCGUCUGCUCCAUCCAAUACUCCUGAGGCAACUCAAGAAGGCGAAUCCACACUU